AAAUUCAAAAUAUGUAUCUUAGUGCUAUUUAAUUUUUAAACCAGACUCUAUUUGGGUUCUUUCAAAAUUUGAGACCUGCUGUCCCUGAUUAUUGUUCCCUUGCCAUGAGGACGUUGAUUGAUCAAUGUUGGUCUGUGCAACCGAACAAGAGGCCCAAGUUUUGGCAGAUUGUGAAGGUAUUCUGAAGGUUUUGGCAAAUUGUGAAAGAUCAUGCAUUUGUGCCUAUUGUUGUCAUUAAUAACUCAGCACGAUAAUGCCUUUGGCGAUAGCCGUGAUACAAAGAAAGUUGACAUUCCUAGAUAUGCUAAAAUUCUACCCAAAUGAGUGAUGGAGUUGGAGCUGUGUUUCUAAUGAAGAGAAAGGUUCCGAUGAAGAGGAGUGUUACAAUGCUGAAAGGAAUUCCUAUCUUUUGUGUGUUCAGGGCUUAAAUCUUAUGUAACUAAUGCUUAACGCAAAUAAUUUUUUCUUUUUUUUUUUGUGUAUAUCUAUGCUAUUCAGUAACCAACUAUACUAUAGCACUGUGUAUUCAAAAAAAUGUAAUGAAAUUAUCAAUUUUUAUGCAAUUACAAAAUUUAUCA